UAAAGCGCGCGUAGGCCGUUGAGUUAGUUAAUUGUGAAAUCCCAAAGCUUAACUUUGGAACUGCAAUUAAAACUGCUCGACUAGAGUUUGAUAGAGGAAAGCGGAAUACAUAGUGUAGAGGUGAAAUUCGUAGAUAUUAUGUAGAACACCAGUUGCGAAGGCGGCUUUCUGGAUCAACACUGACGCUGAGGCGCGAAAGUAUGGGUAGCAAAGAGGAUUAGAUACCCUCGUAGUCCAUACCAUAAACGAUGAUUGCUAGAUGUUGGAAAUUUAUUUUCAGUAUCGCAGCUAACGCAUUAAGCAAUCCGCCUGGGGAGUACGACCGCGAGGUUAAAACUCACGUGAAUUGACGGGGACCCGCACAAGCGGUGGAUGAUGUGGAUUAAUUCGAUGCUACGCGACAUACCUUACCUACCCUUGACAUGUCACUAACGAAGUAGAGAUACAUUAGGUGCUCGUAAGAGAAAGUGAACACAGGUGCUGCAUGGCUGUCGUCAGCUCGUGUCGUGAGAUGUUGGGUUAAGUCCCGCAACGAGCGCAACCCUUGUCUUUAGUUGCUACGCAAGAGCACUCUAAAGAGACUGCCGGUGACAAACCGGAGGAAGGUGGGGAUGACGUCAAGUCCUCAUGGCCCUUAUGGGUAGGGCUUCACACGUCAUACAAUGGUGCAUACAGAGGGUUGCCAACCCGCGAGGGGGAGCUAAUCUCAGAAAAUGCAUCGUAGUCCGGAUCGUAGUCUGCAACUCGACUACGUGAAGCUGGAAUCGCUAGUAAUCGCGGAUCAGAAUGUCG
rnacentral:rRNA from 1 species